rnacentral:rRNA from 1 species
AGUGAACGCUGGCGGUAGGCCUAACACAUGCAAGUCGAACGGCAGCACAGUAAGAGCUUGCUCUUACGGGUGGCGAGUGGCGGACGGGUGAGGAGUACAUCGGAAUCUACUUUUUCGUGGGGGAUAACGUAGGGAAACUUACGCUAAUACCGCAUACGACCUACGGGUGAAAGCAGGGGAUCUUCGGACCUUGCGCGAUUGAAUGAGCCGAUGUCGGAUUAGCUAGUUGGCGGGGUAAAGGCCCACCAAGGCGACGAUCCGUAGCUGGUCUGAGAGGAUGAUCAGCCACACUGGAACUGAGACACGGUCCAGACUCCUACGGGAGGCAGCAGUGGGGAAUAUUGGACAAUGGGCGCAAGCCUGAUCCAGCCAUACCGCGUGGGUGAAGAAGGCCUUCGGGUUGUAAAGCCCUUUUGUUGGGAAAGAAAAGCAGCAGGUUAAUACCCCGCUGUUCUGACGGUACCCAAAGAAUGAGCACCGGCUAACUUCGUG